CCCUAGUUUCCUCAUUGGCAAGGUGGGUAUAACAUCUACUUUGUAGAGUUGCUUUGAUACAUAUGUGAGGCGACAUAUUUAAACUUUCUAGCACAGUGCGUGCCUCUUAGUAGGAUUAAUGGUUGUCUGCCUGUGCCCUGUUGAAUAGACUGUGUUUCUCUGUCUAAAGGAUUUUAUCUAUGGUCAUAACCUUGACAAACCUAUUAUGCUUUUAACUCCCAGAUGUCUAUCUCUCAUGUAAUCUACUCUGAAUCUUCAAGUCUGAAAUUUCUGAAGCAUCUUGGAUAUCUUCUCAUUGUUAUCUUGGUUUUUGCCAAUUCACUUUAUUUGUACUAGGGCAGAAAAAUGUCCUCUGGUCAAAUGAAGCAUUGCAUGCUGGGAGAAAAAGUGCUGAGAGACAAGGAAAAGUAAGUAUUGUCCCAAUGUUUCUGGUUAAGAAGACAGAGAGAUAAUAUACCAUCUAGUGAGAUAAGGAAACCUGCAGGUUGAGCAGGAAACAGGAUCUUCUUUUUGGGGGAAAGGGUCAGUGGGGAGAGGGAAGAAGGGGGAAAAUAGUCUUGUUUUAUGUAUGUUGAGUUUGACAUAUUCAUUAGAGAUCUCGUGGAGCUAUUGAGUAAGCAUGUGAUGGAAGUUCCGUAAUAAUGUCCGGACUGGAUAUAUUGAUCUGGGAAUGGUGACCCUAUAGGUCAUAUUCAAAUGUCAUUAGACUGGUUGAGAUCACUGAAGAAAUAAAUAUAGAUGGAGUAGAGAAAAGGACCAAGAAGUGAACCAUGAAGUAUUCCAGUGUUCAAAGAUCUUGUGGAAGAGAAGGGUCCACCAAAAGACUCUGAAAAAAGGAAUCAGUAAGAUGGUAGGAAAACCAUGAAGUAUGGUGUGCUAAAAGCCCAAUAUUGAAAGUUUCCAGGAGAAGGGAAUGACAGACUUUGUCAAAUGCCACAAAGUCAAAUUAACAGUGAGAAACAUCUACUGGAUUUAGCAAUGGAGAAGUCAUUGAUAAGGUGACUAUAUUGGUUAUAAUUCAAACUUGACCUUUCUAAAACA
rnacentral:lncRNA from 1 species